UGAGGAAUAUUGGUCAAUGGGCGCAAGCCUGAACCAGCCAUCCCGCGUGAAGGAAGAAUGCGCUAUGCGUUGUAAACUUCUUUUCCAGGGGCAUAAAAUUUUGUACGUGUACGAAAUUGAAGGUACCCUGGGAAUAAGCAUAGGCUAACUCCGUGCCAGCAGCCGCGGUAAUACGGAGGAUGCAAGCGUUAUCCGGAUUUAUUGGGUUUAAAGGGUGCGUAGGCGGAUCAAUAAGUCAGUGGUGAAAACCUUCAGCUUAACUGGAGACUUGCCAUUGAUACUGUUGGUCUUGAGUGUGGUUAAGGUAGGCGGAAUGUGUAAUGUAGCGGUGAAAUGCUUAGAUAUUACACAGAACACCGAUUGCGAAGGCAGCUUACUGAGCCAUAACUGACGCUGAUGCACGAAAGCGUGGGGAGCGAACA
rnacentral:rRNA from 1 species